rnacentral:rRNA from 1 species
AUGGAGGGGAGAGAAGACGACAAGAAAGGCGGCGCCGCCGCCCCCGGCAGCUCAGCGCCGGGGACGAGAUUCAAGAACCUGGUCUCCAGGGAAUACUACAGCCACAAGAAGAAGGUGCACUCUGUAGCAUGGAACUGCAUAGGCACAAAGCUUGCUUCAGGCUCUAUAGAUCAUACUGCCCGUGUCUGGAGCAUUGAUCCCCAUGGCCAUUCCAAGGUUAAAGACAUUGAACUGAAAGGCCACUCAGAUAGUGUAGAUCAGUUAUGCUGGGAUCCAAAGCAUCCUGACACAGUUGCCACUGCAGCUGCUGACAAGUCAAUUCGCCUUUGGGAUGCGCGAAGUGGGAAAUGCCAAGUUGUUGAACUCAGUGGAGAAAACAUCAACAUCACAUACAAACAUGAUGGCACUCACAUAGCUGUUGGAAAUAAGGUUUACAAUAACAGAACAUGGGAGGAUGAGCUAACCAUAGUGGAUGUUCGGAAGCUAAAACCCGUCCACAAACAGAAGUUCCCUUACGAGAUUAAUGAGAUUGCAUGGAAUAAAACUGGAGAUUUAUUCUUCAUAACUACUGGGCUUGGAUUUGUUGAGGUGGUCAACUAUCCUUCCCUUGAUGUUGUCUGCAAAUUAAAUGCCCAUACAGCAGGGUGCUAUUGCAUAGCAAUGGAUCCCCUUGAUAGGUAUUUUGCUGUUGGAAGUGCAGAUUCACUUGUCAGUCUUUGGAAUGUCAAAGAGCUGCUAUGCAUUAAAACCUUCACAAAACUUGAGUGGCCUGUCAGAACAGUUAGCUUCAAUCACACUGGAGAAUUUAUUGCAUAUGCCAGUGAAGAUCCUUUCAUUGACAUUGCCAAUAUUCAGACUGGACGAUCAAUUCAUCAGAUUCCAUGUAAAGCAGCUAUGAAUAGUGUUGAAUGGAAUCCUAAAUACAACCUCCUGGCUUAUGCAGGAGAUGACAAGAAUAAGUACCAGGCUGAUGAUGGUGUUUUCCGAAUAUUUGGUUUUGAAAGCACAUAA